rnacentral:rRNA from 1 species
GGUCAGUAGGGGACGGCUGCGGUGGGAAUAUGUGUGGGUCGAUCGUUGUCUGUGAGUUUUUGGAGUGAAGUGCUCUUAGUCGGGUUGUUGCGGCGGGAGUGAAAACUCAGUGCUUAACUCUGAGCUUUCUUCCGUUACGGGCAGACUAGAGGUAUGCAGGGGAGAACGGAAUUCCUGGUGUAGCGGUGAAAUGCGCAGAUAUCAGGACGAACACCGGUGGCGAAGGCGGUUCUCUGGGCAUGACCUGACGCUGAGGAGCGAAAGUGUGGGGAGCGAACAGGAUUAGAUACCCCUGUAGUC